GCUUAACACAUGCAAGUCGAGCGAGAAUCGUUUAUUGAAGGCUUCGGCUGGAAAUAGAUGAGGAAAGCGGCGAACGGGUGAGUAACGCGUGGGCAACCUGGCCUUAAGAAAAGGAUAGCCCCCGGAAACGGGGAGUAAUACUUUAUGAGAAUGAAAGAGGGCAUCCUACUUUCAUUCAAAGCGCAAGCGCUUAAGGAUGGGCCCGCGUAUCAUUAGCUAGUUGGUGAGAUAACAGCCCACCAAGGCAACGAUGAUUAGCCGGUCUGAGAGGGCGAACGGCCACAUUGGAACUGAGGGACGGUCCAAACUCCUACGGGAGGCAGCAGUGGGGAAUAUUGCGAAAUGGAGAAGAACUCUGACGCAGCAAUACCGCGUGAGCGAAGAAGGUCUUCGGAUCGUAAAGCUCUGUUAUCAGGGAAGAAGAAAAUGACGGUACCUGAUGAGCAAGUCCCGGCUAACUACGUGCCAGCCGCCGCGGUAAGAC
rnacentral:rRNA from 1 species